GACAGAGGUCCCCGAGCGUUAGGCGGAAUCACUGGGCUUAAAGCGUGUGUAGGCGGAUUGGUAAGUACCUUGUGAAAUCCCACGGCUCAACCGUGGAACUGCUUGGUAUACUGCUUAUCUUGGGCCACUUAGGGGUUACCGGAACAAACGGUGGAGCGGUGAAAUGCGUAGAUAUCGUUUGGAACGCCAAUGGUGAAAACAGGUAACUGGGAGUGUGCCGACGCUGAGACACGAAAGCCAGGGGAGCGAACGGG
rnacentral:rRNA from 1 species